UAAAAAAAAAAUAGAAAUAAGAUAAAAAAGUAGAAGGCGUUGGAGUUUCACUGCAGCCAUCCUCAAGUGUAGGAGAGAGAAAUAAGAGAAGAGGAAGCAAAGUGUCGAUAAAGAGACUCAUGGCUGAACAUAAAGCUUAUGAAACUUUGGUACAAGUCAAAAGAAAGAAGAAAUGAUGAGAGAGAGAAGAGCAGAUCUGCUGAAGUGAGGAGGUAAAUGUCAGAAUCUGCAACUCUGCCUCUUUAUAUAAAGAGAGAAGAGCAGAUCAGGUCGAGAUCAAGAGCAGAGAUAGCGUAAGAAUCCAGUCCUUCGGCAUUUUCAGGAUUUUUUCAGUUUGCAGAAAGAUUUGUGACCUAAAAUCAUCAUCAUCACAACGGUCAUGAUGAAGCUUCACCACUGACAGGAAGAGUCCAGCAGCAUAAUGUGCAUGUUGUUCAAAAAAAAAAGAACAACGCAGCAGAAGCUGCGCGAGGCUUUGAGGUCAAGUUAGCAUCUGACAAACAUCCGAAAGGGGACAGAGACGAACAAUAAAACAUC